AUUUGAGAGGAGCUGUCCUUAGUACGAGAGGACCGGGAUGGACACACCGCUGGUGUACCAGUUGUCUUGCCAAAGGCAUCGCUGGGUAGCUAUGUGUGGACGGGAUAAGUGCUGAAAGCAUCUAAGCAUGAAGCCCCCCUCAAGAUGAGAUUUCCCAUAGCGCAAGCUAGUAAGAUCCCUGAAAGAUGAUCAGGUUGAUAGGUCAGAGGUGGAAGCGUGGCGACAUGUGUAGCUGACUGAUACUAAUCGAUCGAGGACUUAACCAAAC
rnacentral:rRNA from 1 species